GAGUUUGAUCCUGGCUCAGGAUGAACGCUGGCGGCGUGCCUAAUACAUGCAAGUCGAACGCACUGAUUUUAUCAGUGAGUGGCGAACGGGUGAGUAAUACAUAAGUAACCUGCCCUCAUGAGGGGGAUAACUAUUAGAAAUGAUAGCUAAGACCGCAUAGGUGAAGGGGUCGCAUGACCGUUUCAUUAAAUAUCCGUAAGGAUAGCAGGAGGAUGGACUUAUGGCGCAUUAGCUGGUUGGUGAGGUAACGGCUCACCAAGGCGACGAUGCGUAGCCGACCUGAGAGGGUGGACGGCCACACUGGGACUGAGACACGGCCCAGACUCCUACGGGAGGCAGCAGUAGGGAAUUUUCGGCAAUGGGGGAAACCCUGACCGAGCAACGCCGCGUGAGGGAAGAAGUAUUUCGGUAUGUAAACCUCUGUUAUAAAGGAAGAACGGUAUGAAUAGGAAAUGAUUCAUAAGUGACGGUACUUUAUGAGAAAGCCACGGCUAACUACGUGCCAGCAGCC
rnacentral:rRNA from 1 species